CCUGGUGCCUUUUGCGGCUAGGUCCCACCUGAUCCCAUCCCGAACUCAGAAGUGAAACUGGCCAGCGCCGAUGAUACUGCGGUGCAACCGCGGGGAAAGUAGGUCGGUGCCAGGU
rnacentral:rRNA from 1 species